rnacentral:rRNA from 1 species
UUGGCCGUAAAUAAAUUAAAUUUACCAGAGUACUAUGAACUAAAAAGUUUAAAACUCAAAGAGCUUGGCGGUGUUUUAGACCUCUCAGGGGAACCUGUCUCAUAAUCGACAAUCCACGUUAUACCUAACCUUAUUUUGCUUUUACAGUUUGUAUACCGUCGUCGUCAGGUAACUUUUAAAAACUUAGAAGUUAGCAAAAAAGCUAUAUAAGCUUACACGUCAGAUCAAGGUGCAGCUCAUAUUAAGGUGAGGAUGGGUUACAAUUAUAGAUUCAUAACUACGAAAUAAUUAUAAUAAUAUAUAAUUAUAAGGAGGACUUGAAAGUAAAUUAAAUUAUAAAAACAUUUUGAAUAAGGCUCUGAAACGUGC